rnacentral:rRNA from 1 species
GACGUAGGGCGCGAGCGUUGUCCGGAUUUAUUGGGCGUAAAGAGCUCGUAGGCGGCUUGUCGCGUCGACUGUGAAAACUCGGGGCUCAACUCCGAGCUUGCAGUCGAUACGGGCAGGCUAGAGUUCGGUAGGGGAGACUGGAAUUCCUGGUGUAGCGGUGAAAUGCGCAGAUAUCAGGAGGAACACCGAUGGCGAAGGCAGGUCUCUGGGCCACUACUGACGCUGAGAAGCGAAAGCAUGGGGAGCGAACAGG